AAGAUGAGAAGACUGUGGAGGAACAUAGGAUGGUGGUGCUCCAUUCUGUGAAGCCGGUUGCAUAAAAAAGUUUGAUGGGCCCGAUGGAAGAUUGGGAGCUGCAGCUUGAGGUGCCUGUGGAGGAGCGAAUGAUGGCGCAGCAGCCUGAGGAAAGGAUGAUGGGUUCAGGGCUGCAGGAUAUGCUUGUGGCUGAGAAUACAUGAGAGCAGCAUGAGUAUUGGGUGCCACUGCUUGAGGAGGAGCGUGAGUAACAGGCUGAGAUGCCUGGGAGGGAACAUAAGCCGAGGGUGCCUGUUGG
rnacentral:lncRNA from 1 species